rnacentral:rRNA from 1 species
CNAGCUGGCGGCGUGCUUACACAUGCAAGUCGAACGGUGACCUCGGAGCUUGCUUCGGGUGAUCAGUGGCGAACGGGUGAGUAACACGUGAGUAACCUGCCCCAGACUCUGGGAUAACCUCGGGAAACCGGGGCUAAUACCGGAUAUGCAGCGUUCCCGCAUGGGAUGCGUUGGGAAAGUUUUUCGGUCUGGGAUGGACUCGCGGCCUAUCAGCUUGUUGGUGAGGUAGUGGCUCACCAAGGCGACGACGGGUAGCCGGCCUGAGAGGGCGACCGGCCACACUGGAACUGAGACACGGUCCAGACUCCUAUGGGAGGCAGCAGUGGGGAAUAUUGCACAAUGGGCGCAAGCCUGAUGCAGCGACGCCGCGUGGGGGAUGAAGGCCUUCGGGUUGUAAACCCCUUUCAGCAGGGAAGAAGCGAAAGUGACGGUACCUGCAGAAGAAGCGCCGGCUAACUACGUGCCAGCAGCCGCGGUAAUACGUAGGGCGCAAGCGUUGUCCGGAAUUAUUGGGCGUAAAGAGCUCGUAGGCGGUUUGUCGCGUCUGCUGUGAAAACCCGAGGCUCAACCUCGGGCCUGCAGUGGGUACGGGCAGACUAGAGUGUGGUAGGGGAGACUGGAAUUCCUGG